UGUCAUGCUUUUCCACAGCUUUCUUGAACUUCUGCUGAUCUCAUGAUCUGGUAUAGAAGAAGCUCAAGAAAGCUGUGGGAAAACAUGGUAA
rnacentral:pre_miRNA from 1 species